rnacentral:sRNA from 1 species
AUUCUGCCCAAGCGGAGAAGGAUGAGAAGCUUCGACUAAGGUUCGACUCGAGCGCCAGCGAGAGAGCGUUGCCGCAGGCAACGACCUGAAGGGCGAAGCGCGCAGCGCUGAGUAAUCCUUCCCGCACCACCA